GAUAGGUUGGGACCGUUGGAUGGUCCCAAAUUUAAUAUAUGUUAAUCUAGGUAUUUCUAGGAUCGUGUAGGAAUUCACGGAUCGUGAAUCGGAGCCCCGAAUGUUCCGAAUAAUAAUUUAAAGUUUAUAUUUUAUAUUAACCGUCAGAUCAUGCGAUCGUGAGAAAUCCGACCGUCUGAUCUGAACCAAACUCGCAGGACAAGUGUCCUAUACCUGGUAGAACCCAUAGAGACUUUCGGAUCAGAAAUUGGAGGUCGUGGGUUCUGCAGGUCCGUUUGACCAGGGUUAGAGUAGUUUGACCCUUGGUUGACCGUGAAUCUCCCGGAGUAAUCUCACCC
rnacentral:lncRNA from 1 species